GGAGAAAAACAAAAAACAAUAUUCUUAGUAAAGGUUUUAAUUCAGAACCUUUCAGUAAAGUCUUUUCCUAUCAAUCACAUGGCAACAGUGCAGUUUUUCAUGUACUCACAACAAAAUUCAUUGUGUUUUAAUGACAAUUUAAGUGUCAUUAAAACACUUAAUGACACUUAAAUUUUCAUUGGACAUGUUUUCAUGAGCAAAACUUUUCACCUCUCUGAUGAAUCAGAUAAUAACCUUUUGUUGCAAAAUUCAGAUUCUGCUUUAAAUAAAAUAUAUUUUCAAAGGUUUCUUACAUCACCCUGAACAAACCAACCGCACUGUGAAACAUGGUUGCAUCAGCCUCAUGCUGUGAGUCUGCUUACAUCAGCAGUGACUAAGAAGCUGGUAAGAGUUUACAGGAAGGUGGAUGGAGUUAAGUCCAGGACGAUCCAGGAAGAAAAGCUGUUUCAUACUUGAGACUCGGGAGAAAGCUCACCUUCCAAAAGAACAACCACCCUAAAAAUACAGCCAGAGCUACGAUGGAAACAUUUAUAUCAGUGAUAUCAACUAUCAAUACUCAACGACUGGUAUUCUCAAUGUCUUAGAUCUUUUCCUGGUUGGGUGUGAAUACUUUUGUUAUGUAUCAGUGUUUAGAAUCUAAACCAAACCAAAGCAAGUACGUAUCUGUUGUUUCACUGAGGAUUAAUGUAUGUCACGUCCAGCUGAGUUAUUACCACAUCUCUUCAACAGUAAUGCAUUUCCAAGAGACUCCAGGAUUAAAUGAAUGCUCUGUCACGACCUUCAUAUUUAAUGACGCCUUAUGGUUGACAGGUUCUGAAUUUUAUGCUAGUUCUGAAGGAAGAGAAAGUUAAACACUUGAAACAUUUUCUUCUUAAAUUGUGUUCAGUGAGAGACAGGUGUUGUUGACCAUGCAUACAUAACAAGAAAGAUUUUCUGAGUAGGUUGUCAUAUUUGGUGAUUUGCCUUUACAUACUUAUGUGAUAUGUCCUUUCCCUGUAUCCAUUUUCUGUGCAUGAAUCAAAUGAUAGAUGGUGGCUGGAACUGAUCUAAAGCAGCCAUUGGGUAAGACUGAGGGAUGGAAUCUCAUCAUUCCCUCUUACUGGUCCCAGCUCAUAAGUGGGCCCUGCUGGUUUAUUUUCAGCACAUUUUAUUACAAAAAUCAUAGGACUUUUUUAGUUCUUUUGUUCUUGUCAUGAGAUUUUCUUCUUAUGUUAGCAGUGCUUUGUUUUAUCAUGGAUUUUUAAUCCUAAGAUUGCCCUAUCACUGCUCUAGUGAUGCUAAAGGUAUUUAUUUGCAAGUUAAUUUAAAUGUUAUAGACAUAUUUCAUCACUAAGCAGUAGUCUCAUUUACAGUCUCCUUUGUUCUCUCAGCUUUGCUCUGUUUGAGGUCGAUGCCAGGAGUCAUUUGGCAUAAGAUGGGAAACCCAAAGGACAGGUGGCCUGUUCAUUGUCCUUCUUGGUCCAAAUAAAAAUACAUAAAUAAAAUGAAAUAAAGAUAAAAGUCAUGACAAAAAACAUCAUGAGUGAUUGAAGAGAAAUCUUCACACAAGGGUCAAUGCCAGAAAUCCACUGCUUAAAGGAAGGACUCAUAGAUCCCAUUGGCAGCAGUUUUGCUCAUGUUUUCACCUCUCUGAUCAAUCAGGUAAUAAUCUUUUGUUGCAAAAUUCAGAUUCUGCUUUAAAUAAAAUAUAUUUUAAGUACUUUAUUAGAAUCAGAAUGAUUUUAUUGUUAUUGUACCGAAAUCUGUUUUUGAAGGAGAGUCAGAUAUUUUUAGGUACUUUGCUGUCUGUCGAUGUCGAUUCUGCUCAGAUUGGACGUUGACCUCUUUUAUGUGAACAUCUUAGUCAGGAAUCACCUAUUCAUGCAGAUCUACAUCCAUUACCUAUCUGUGAGUAUAUUCACCUGUGAAUAGGUAAAUAUACAAUAGAAACGUUCUACUUUCCUAUUGUAUCAAAUGCUUACUUUGUGCAAUAAAAUGCAAAUUAAUAAUCAUACAGUAUUUUUUUUGAUAGGACAAUGUGUUUUUGUGAAUUUUUUACGUAAUGUUUCUCAAGGUUGAUAUGUACCAACAAUGAAAAUUCUGGACCUCCACUGUUUGUAAGAAAACGUAAAAAAUAAAUAAAAAUCCGCAGUGUGUCAAAUACUUUUGUUCCCUCACUGUGUUUUCUGAAAGGGCCUGCACAGCAGGUGUGGUUGAAACCAUGCAGUGAUGACAAUCUGGUUGGUAGAUUAAAGCCAAAAAACACACCCUGACCACAUUUGGAUAGAGGGUCCUAAUCCUUUCUUGCCAAUAACACACAUUGAUUGGGCCAUGGUUGGUACUAGAACUUUUGUUCUUCUCCCUUGCAAUCAUAGUUCAUGUUGCAUAAAAUUCACCACAAAAUCUAAAUUUAUGAGUUAUAUUUGAAAAUGCCAAAAAGUUAGUGGAGCAUAAAUAAUUUUCCAAAAAUUUUAACUUGCCAGUUUUCCUUUUCUACUUGUUUGUACCGUUAAAAAAAAAAAAGGUUAUCAAAAAAAUAACAGUCUUCUGCCUUUAAUGCCUCCCUCACUACUUUUGGCAGCCACAACUUCCUCAUUGGAACCAAGAACAAAGCUGCUCGGCUCAAGCAUCCCUGAAAGCUUCCCAUGUUUCAGACGGAUUCUGUGUUGGCAAACACUUGAUCCAUUUUUCAGAACACACUGAGCCAGAAGCAGAGUAUUUUCUAGGAUAAUAAACUGGACCAGCACAAUACUGUGCCCUUCACUCAGUCAGAGGAAUUUUGCCCAGGAAUUUGUGCUAAAUCUCCUGCAGAGUCAUCACUGCUGAACUCUGCAGCCCAUUAGGAUGUUAGUGUCAGUUUAUUGAGGGCCCUAACAAGCAACUGAAGAAAAGUGUGUCCAAGUAAAUUGAGGCCUUUUGGGAGACAAAGCUGAGCAAAGACUUCUGAAACUAAGUAAUUACAAAUUUUAGAUGGUCUACUGAUUUUUUUACACUAAAGGAAUGAAAGUCAAUUUAUAUCUGCAACACUAGAGCAGAUUUCCAGUCAGUGGCUACAAUCAUGCAGCCUACUGGAGCCUCUUUUUAAAACUCUUCACUAUUUCAUAAGAGUUUGUUUGCUUUGUGUUGAAGACCCUGAACAUCCCUACUUCUAAAAAUAAUUUACAGUCUUAUUGUUUUUCUGUUUCUACAUUUGCUUUUUCACAGGAAUUUUAAAUGGUAGCCAUUUAAAAUUUUACCAGAGUCAAGAAAAAUCUAAUUUGAUUGGUGACCAUGAAUGAAGUAUCACUUUGCUCUAGCUGGAUAAAUCCUCCUACACUUUAGAGAGUGUGCCUGUUAGUGUCCUACAUCAAUCAUAAUAUUGGGGUAUAGUACAAUGGAAACACAAUAUUCAUGUUUUACCUAAAAUAUUUGACCCAAGUUGUGGUUAAUUUGAUUAUGUACAAACAUUUCUAAAAAGUGUUAUUAUUAUUCUCAUACUUAGAUCAAAAUAAUUCAGUUAACUGAGGGAAAAGGGGAAGCUUUAGUCAGAUUUAACAUCAAAUAAAAUGAAUAAAAACCAAUUAUUUGGUUUCAACAGUAUUACUGGUAGCUGAUAGAAGCAGCACCUCUGCCUGAUUAAACUGCCUCCUUAGGAAGGGUCAAAACAGUCAUCCAGUAAGGUUCGCCCUCCAGCUGGUAGCUGCAUAUGGAGCCACACAAAAACGAUUGCUGGCAUGUGGUAAGAGUUCCCUCAAGGCCUGUCAUUGCUGUACAAACAUAUGUUAGAACAGACAUCACCCCUCCCACUGAAUGCAUUAGAGAUAGAUUAAACAGAACACUUUAAACCUUCCUCGCCUAUAGAACCGCCAAUUAUCUUACCUCAAUAAUUUACAUCCAGAUUUUUGUAAUAAUUGAGAUUUAUUUUUUUUCCCCCAUGAUUAAUUUUACCAAACACUCCCUCUAUUUCUUCUGGCAAGUAAAUUAAAAGUGAAAUAAACUUCAACAGUGUGAUGCAACAGAUGCUUUAACCUGUUAAGCCCGACGGACCCUCCGAGGGUUCCAGCUGCCAUGUGACCUCGACUCGCUCUGUAAACAAAGGCUCCGUGUGCCUUUAAAUUUUUUUUUUUAUUAUUAUCCGCUAAAAGAGGCUUUAAUCUUUCAAAAACUAUUCCGCAUAAAGGUUUUGCCCAAAAUGUUAAGAUUUUAGAGCUAUUUAAAAACAGCUGAUGAGAUUUAAAGGUCCUCGGGCGAUGACGCAACUGCCCGGAAAACCCCCGAUCAGCUGAUCAUCACGGCCAUUUUAUGGCUCCACGAGACAGUGGAAAGACUCUCAGAGUAUGGCACAAGAUGUCGGCUAUGCAAAAUCAUGACGUAUUUUUCGGAACCCGAUCUAAAUGUGUGCGUAAUUUAUGCGUUCUCGGCGCGUUCUCGGUGCGCUCUCGUGCAUAAGCACGUGUGGUACACGGGAGUCUGAGCACGUGGAGUUAUCUCGGUUCCGUGAGUUCAGUUUUGAUUUUUUUUAUGAUAAAUCGAUCAUAGCAGCAGAAACUGGACGAUUUAGAGGCUUUUGAAGGCUUUUGAACAACAACGGUUUUCCGAUUUGCUACGAGUGGAGCUAAAUCUUCUGAUAGCUGGUGGGAUUCGGACGAGGAGGAAGAGGAAGAGCCGGACACAGCUGACAGACUUGAUCUCGGUGAUGUUCGAGUGGAAGCCGAACCAUCAAGCUCGGGUGACGCUGAACCUCCCCCCACCUCCCCCACCUCUCAUGAUUCUUCACCUUCUUUGAGGCAGGGUCAAAGCUACAAUGGUGCUGACACCAGAAAACCAUUCUAUGACAUCUUACCUUUACAGAGGUACCAAAAGUUUCUUAUUAAAUCUAAUAGCUGUGAGGCUAUAAGUGAUUUACUUUUGUGUGUUUUUGUCAGGCGGAAAUUUAUUUAUACCCCCUUAGGGGGUAAGAGGACUUGGAGAAGCUGGAAUGAAUUCAGUGUUGUGUCCCUCUGGUAGCUUCUAGAUGUCCAUGAACAAUAUUUACAUUGUUACACUGCAAGGAGACAUGUUUCUAAUCAAUAAAAUGUAACUUGAGACUGAAAACGUAAAUACAUUUUGACCGAGAUGGCUCCUGGGAUCCUCCUAGAAAUGGGAACACGGUCAUGUUUACUCUCCUAGGUUAAAUGUUCUACUCCAAGAGUUUAUGAUAGUUUCCCACCAAGUUGUUUCCAAGUUUGGUGGAGUCAAUGUAAACCUUUCCAGGGUAGUGUUCAAGAAGUUCUCUUCUACCAAAUAUCUUUGAGUUUUUUAUCUGACCACUGCACUUGUCAUGUAAUGGUUCCAUAGAAAACUGUGUGUGCAGCUUCAAGUGGUCUGCCUGUUAUGGGGUAGUGUGUCUUUCUAAUGAAAGUCCCGUUUGGAUUCAGAUCAUUAAAAAGCUCAUCUGUAGUUGUAUGUUGGUCCUUCACCAUUUUAUCAUCAGCAUAGCCUCAUAAGGUAAAAUCUCAGGCUGGACUCCAGAAAGAUGGUGAUUAAUGAUAAUUUUAUCUCUUAUGUUUCUUUCCUUUAUUAGCUCUUUGGUUUGACCUUUUCAGGUUCAAAUGAAAAUCAAUUGCAGUUAAAGAUUUCUGGGUUCAAAUCUUUGUUAAAGACUUCUGAGUGGAGUCUGUAGGUUCUGCCGGUGUAUGUGUCGGUUCUCUCUGGGUAAAGUGUCUUCUUCACACAGUUCAAAACACACAGACGGUCAAAAUGUGCACGUAUGCUCAGUUGUAUCUCUUGUUGGGUUCUGUGUUGCCCUGGAGAUGAACUGGUGACCUGUCGGUAGGUCUCCCAACCAUCACUAGAGACAGUGUAUCUGUGCCACUGCAAGGACAAAGUGGGUAUAAAAAUGGAUAAAUGGUGUGUUUCACACACACAACAUGCUGGCUCAAACAUUUCUGAUUGACUGAAGUGUUGGUGCCAUAUGGAGACUAAGAUAAAGUGCCAGAAUCCAAGCUAGAACAUAAGGGGAUUAAAUGUCACUUUCACUCAAUGGGAUAAAAAUCAAGUGAAGAUUUACAGUAGAAAUAAGAUCUUUACCUACACUGUAAAAAAUCUAACACAUUUUAUUUUGCUUCAUUUGGAAUUAGACUACAUUUUCUAGGAAUUACAAAGUCUACUUUUAUCUGAAGAAGAGCAGAUAUAAUUUUAAACUCAGAAAUGUUCUCCUAAUUUCUUAGUACUUGGUCAAACCUUUAAACUUUACAACUUGGGUCAAAUGAUUUGGUUUGCUGUAAUUUUCACCAAUUCCUCUGAACAGAACUUGUGUUCAGAUUUUAGACCCUCUUAAACAGGAUGAUUAGUGGACAUUGCUAUGCUGUUCAUAAAAUAGUUUGGACAGAGGAAGGAGGAACCUUCCGAUAUCUUCAAAGUCCACAAUUCUUUUUCAGAUAUUUGGACAGAUCUUUUGAUUUUGUACAAGAAGCCAAAGUGGUUUAUUUGUUGCCUGAACAGUUUGUUAACUGACCCAUAAGGAACAGUAAUGUUUGUUGAAUGUUUGCUUUUGAUUUCAAAGAAACAUAAUGUGCUUCAUCAU